AAGCUAUUCUAAAAUAGUUCUUUUAGCUGUAAAGUGCUGUGUUGUUGUUCCCCCUGCUCAAAAUAAAGUGUUUCUUUACUAUACCUGUCUGCUACACUCUUAUAACAGCCAGGGACGCUUGGUCUCAUACAU
rnacentral:snoRNA from 1 species